AUUGAAGCUGCUCCGUGAGACAAAGAAGGACGAAGGCUAACUACUUCCAGAAUCCCGAUUUUAAAGCAAUUUGGUGCGCCAUCCAUUUAUCACAAGUUGGCUGUUAUAAAGUUUCCAAACUGACCAAAGACCAACGAAUGACUUCUGAAGAAGGGUGGAUUUAUUAGUAGUUUAGUUAAACAAUAAUUUGCCCCGUCAGUGAUAUGGUUUGAAUGCUGCCUGAACGUUCCGAAUUUGGCAGACACGGUGAGGACAAUGCUGAGGAAAAUUGCCACAAACAAAGUCCUGGAGCAGCUUGGCCUCCGUGGAAAGUCAGGAAAAGUGGCGUUUGAGGACUUGCCCCUUUACAGAAUAAUAAAUAGGGUGUUUACAAGCAGACGACCACAGCUGAAGUGGAUUGUGAGCUUGGAGAGGUCCUGAAACUGGCCACUUUUCGAAAGGGAGGUUCAAAAUUUGAGGAGAAGAGGAGGAAUUAAGAGGGAGGACAAAAAAGGAAAAAGAAACAAGCAAAAGAACAGAGUGAGAUAAGAGG